rnacentral:rRNA from 1 species
GACGAACGCUGGCGGCGUGCUUAACACAUGCAAGUCGAACGAUGAAGCUGGAGCUUGCUCCGGUGGAUUAGUGGCGAACGGGUGAGUAACACGUGAGUAAUCUGCCCUUGACUCUGGGAUAACUGCGGGAAACUGUAGCUAAUACCGGAUACGACACCUUCGGGCAUCCGAUGGGUGUGGAAAGAAUUUCGGUCAAGGAUGAACUCGCGGCCUAUCAGCUAGUUGGUGAGGGAAUGGCUCACCAAGGCGACGACGGGUAGCCGGCCUGAGAGGGUGGCCGGCCACACUGGGACUGAGACACGGCCCAGACUCCUACGGGAGGCAGCAGUGGGGAAUAUUGCACAAUGGGCGAAAGCCUGAUGCAGCAACGCCGCGUGAGGGAUGAAGGCCUUCGGGUGUAAACCUCUUUUAGUUGGGAAGAAGCGAAAGUGACGGUACCAACAGAAAAAGCACCGGCUAACUACGUGCCAGCCGCCGCGGUAA